rnacentral:lncRNA from 1 species
UUUCAGGAUCAAAGCCAGACCUACAGGGUGUGUUCUCUCUGGAUACUUCUACCAUGAUACCAUGGGGAAUUCUAAACUGUCCUGUGCUCUAGCAGGUUAGACUUACCACACUUGGAGUACAACAGUCUUUUCCAUUUGUUCAGGCCCAUGUUGACUUCCUGACAACUUUACAAUGCUCAGGGACAUCAUGUGAUGCUUCCCCACUCCGGAUACCAACAGUUGCUAUGUGGCUAUUCGGUAUGUUGAGGUCAAUCUAGGAUAGUGUCAUUGUAUGGUGGCUCAGUGAUUAAAUCCAGAAUAUAUCAUGACCUGAGGUGAUGAAGUCUCUUACCUAGCAUUUUUCUUGGCAUAUUAACUUCUCUGAAUAUUAUCCAAAAGCUGCUGGAGCCUAUAUUGGGUUAGAGUUGGCAACGUAUUUCCCUAAAGCACAUCAUUGCUUAAUUUAAUUGGGUUACUGGUGGUACUGUUUUUAUUUCUGUAACUUACUAUAUUUCAGGGUUUAAUCUAAUCCUUCAAUUAACAUUUCCUUCUCCAGAAGAGCCUGCCAAAUUAGCUUUUAUUAAUUGCUUUCAUCUUGAAGCUUCUGGUCUCUAGGUUUUAACAAUCCCAUUCUGGUGGAUGGUGGAGGGAUAGAUGACCAUUGACCUAGUAAUGUGUCUAACAGUAGAGUCCAGAUGGCUUUCCAGGACACAAGUUCAAGGUAACCAGCAUCCUGUUUUCUUUAUCACUAGAACCCCAGAUCCUCAAGGAAUGCUCUCACAGAUCAAGUACUCCCAAAAUUUACAAAGCCACCUAAAAACGGGCUGCAUUUUCUUUUGUAAUACAUUCCAAACCACUAUAUUUUACAGUUUAUUUGUGGACCUUUAUAAAAUAUGUCAUGUGUUUUCUGAAUAAACCAAAGGAAAAUUGGUGGUAGCUUUACAGAAGAGGUAGGCUAUUAUCUUUGACAACUCUACUUGUGUCACAUUGGCAACAAAUAAACAAACCAGGACAACCAAGUUGAAAGAAAAUGUGUCAACAAAUGGCCUUUAUUAUUGCUAUGGACCUUCCUUAUUCCCUUCCUCGUGAGCCUGUUCACCAGGGAUCUCUUGCUACACAGAGCCAGGGGCUUCAAAGGUAAAUGGGCCUUGGGGAAACCACAGAUGCCAUGCCUUCCAGUGGCUAUGCUCACUGCCCCACACCCAAAUUAUUAAGAUCAAAAGACACGGGUCAUGGAAGCAAUAUGGGAAGCCACACUUGGGACAAGAGAACAUUGAAGCCAUCUCCAUGAGCUGUGGCCUCAGGCAGUAGGACAGGAGCAAGCUGUUCUGGAUUGAGCAAUCGGUGCAGGAUGGAAAACUGAAGCAAUAGUGUUGAUUGGAAAGCUAAAUGAGAACACUACUAACAGCAUCAUCCUCACAGACAGCACUUGGAAUACUCAACAGAAUGCCCAAGGUUGUCACAAUGAGCAAGAUUAUAUGUGUAUGUGUGUGUGUGUGUGUGUGUGUGUGUGUGUGUGUGUGUGUGUGUGUGAUGUAAUUAAAAAUGAGAUUAUUUCCUUAUUACCUUUUUAAGGCUGUUCAUGGUUGGCAUGUAGAAACAUAAUUGGCUUUCAUUGCUUCUUUUCUAGGCAUGACUACUGAUCAAUUUUGUUGAUUUUUAAAGACUUUCUGCAUAAAAGAUCAUGCCAUUUGUGAACAAAGAUGAGUUUAUGCUUUUCUUUAUUUCCAGUUUGUACACCUUUUGUUUCUUUCAGAGACAGAGAACCUCCCAGCCUUUCACCACUAAUUUUAGCUGUGGGAUUUCACACGCAGCCCUUCUUACAUGUGGCUGCUUCAUUAUCUUUGUAUCAUUAUCUUUGUCUCUUUUUCUGAAUCAUAGAGUGGUGUUGGCUUGUGCCAGUACCUUUCUUAGGUGAAUUGAAAUAGCAAAGUUUCCUCCCUCCUUUUUAAGUAUACUGCAGGGCAUUGAUUGCGUUUCUGGUGUCCCACUAUCUGUUUUUGGUUUUGUUGUUGUUGUUGUUGUUGUUUUAACAGAUAAACACCACUUUGUCGCAAUGAGUAAUGCGUUGUUGGAUUCUGGCUGCUCUUGUUCCUGGUAAACUUGUGCGUCGGUAUCCAUCAGAAACGCUGAUCUUUAUUCUCUUCCUGGAGAAGCUUUGGCUUUGGCACCAAAAUCAGGCAGAUCUCAGAGGAUAAGCCUGGAAACACCAAAUUUUAAGUUUUGAAGAGAUUUGCAUUCCUUUUUAGAUAUUCGGUAGCCUUUACCAGUGGUGCAGAGUGGUUUGUUGGUUUCCUUUGGACUGGGCUGUUAGCUGUGGCUCAGCACCUUUCCUAGCUACAUACAUGAUUCCUCAUAAUAUUCAGUCUCAGAAGAUUGUGGAUCUCAUGGCAACACACUCAUUUCAUCUAAUUUAUCUAGUUUAUUUGUGUGAAAUUGUUAGUGUUUUCUUAUAUUUAUUUCUGCAAAAUCAGUAACUAUAUGCCCUGUUUGAUUUCUGACUGGCUAUUUGAGUCUUCUUUGUAUUUCAUCAAUACAGCUAAAGUUUAGGGCUUUCU